rnacentral:rRNA from 1 species
UACGUAGGGUGCAAGCGUUGUCCGGAAUCAUUGGGCGUAAAGCGCGCGUAGGUGGCCAUUUAAGUCCGCUGUGAAAGUCAAAGGCUCAACCUUUGAAAGCCGGUGGAUACUGGAUGGCUAGAGUACGGAAGAGGCGAGUGGAAUUCCUGGUGUAGCGGUGGAAUGCGCAGAUAUCAGGAGGAACACCAAUAGCGAAGGCAGCUCGCUGGGACGUUACUGACACUGGAGGCGCGAAAGCGUGGGGAGCGAACAGG